UACGGGGGGGAGCAAGCGUUGUUCGGAUUUACUGGGCGUAAAGGGCGCGUAGGCGGCCACCGCAAGUCAGUUGUGAAAUCUCUGGGCUUAACCCAGAACGGUCAGCUGAUACUGCGGGGCUAGAGUGCAGAAGGGGCAACUGGAAUUCUCGGUGUAGCGGUGAAAUGCGUAGAUAUCUGGAGGAACACCGGUGGCGAAGGCGGCAUCCUGGACCGACACUGACGCUGAUGAGCGAAAGCCAGGGGAGCAAACGGG
rnacentral:rRNA from 1 species